CAAGCAGUUCUCCUGCCUCACCCUCCCAAGUAGCUGGGAUUACAGGCACGCGCCACCAUGCCCAGCUAAUUUUUGUAUUUUUAGUAGUGACGGGGUUUCACCUCGUUGACCAGGAUGGUCUCGAUCUCUUGACCUCCUGAUCCACCUGCCUCGGCUUCCCAAAGUGCUGGGAUUAUAGGCGUGAGCCACGACGCCAGGCCUGAAACUUUCAAAUAGUUGCCAUUGUAUUAUUUUAAUUUGAGAGUAACAUAUGUGUACUCUGUAAGUGUAUACAUACACACACAAAUAUAAUUCAAAAGUGACAUAAUCAUACGUGCAAGGUUAAAUGCAAAUGUUCCUCAGGCAGGGCCAGGUCCCAGCACCAGGAGGAAGCUCUGAAAACGCUGCAGCCAAAAACCUGCCUCUCUCCGCUCAUUCAGCGCACGUUCUGGUUACAUCGCCUGUCACUCAGGGCCUGAAGGGGUGGAGCCUGGUGCCCCAGCUAAUCCGUGAUGGCAGCAUGAAAACUGUUCAAUCAGGUUCACAGACAGAGAGGAAGGGGCGGCCUUGCAAUCUGGAAGGGUGUGGUCCCCUGGGUUCAGUUCUUGUGUCCAUUGUUCGUUCUUCUCUGCUCCAGAACUCCUAAGUGAGGCUACCACGGACCCUGUUAUCCUGUGACCUUGUAGGUACUGGGAGAUCCCUAGGGAGGACCCUGGAACCUUCAGAGGCUGGAAAACGGGUGAUGUGUCCUCAGCCACUCUUCUGUAUUUUCCUGGUUCUGGGUGUUACAACUGUCUGGGGGUGACCCAAGAUGCUCACAGUGGCCCUGUCUUUUGGAGUGUCUGCUCUGGAUAAGGAACAUCUCAUGGCGCUGUUGGAGAGAGCAAACUAUCCAGUUCAGGGAGGAGAUGCCUGAUUGAGGUCAGGACAUGAUGAGAGGUGUGUAGACUUGGCCGCUGGCCAGAUUGGAUCCAGAUUCCCACUGAAAAAUUAUUGUGUGAACAUAUUACAAGCAGGUGAUGUGACACAGGGCAGCUGACCUGUGAACAACACAGGUGUGCACUGUGUGGGUCACUCACACAGGGAUUUCUCCCACCUCCGCCACCCUGUUACCGAGGGACCAAGUCUGCUCCAUCUUCCCCCGCAGCCACUCCACAGAGCACCUUCGUGAGGACCCACUGCCGCCUCGUGAACUGUGAAUCUGCUUUCUUUUCUGGGUUUUUCUGAGCAGGAGUUUCCUUUCUUCAGCUGAGUGUGUGGAAGGAACACAGUGGAUGGCACACGUGGCUUGCAUCAUAUGUCCUGACGGUGCGUGGACUUGGCAAGGCUUCUGGUCAACAGGAAGCUGUUAGUAGUUUCGUUUUCGGGGAGUCAAAAGUUACACUCAAGUUUCUGAUUUUGAAGGGGAUUGGUACCCCUAACUCCAUGUUGUUCAAGACUCAAUUGCACUUUCUUUAAAAAUAUAUACAUUUUUUGGUAGGGACGGGGGUCUCACUAUGGUGCCCAGGCUGGUGGUCUUGAACCUCUGGGCUCCAGUGAUCCUCCACCUUCGGCUCCCCAAGAGCUAGGAUUACAGGUAUGAUAUUCGGCAACACCCUGGGAAUUUGCUGUGGCAACCCAGGGUACCUUAGCACACAGUUUCGGAACUGCAGCUGUAAAGAGAGCAGCCAGGGCUGGGCCUGAGACUUGCAAGUCAGCAGAACAGAGACAAGGAAAAUGGCCCGGCCACUCAUUUCCCGGAGCUGCUGUGGGCUCCCUGGGACCUGUCUGCCUCCCGUUGUCUGUCUAUGUCUGUCCUGUCUUUCUGUUUGUCUCCGUGUGUCUUCUGUGACAGCUGCUGAACCCCGCUGCACAGCUGUGAGCUGUUCUUCCUGUCUGCAGCCCUUCUCUAUGUAAGGUCGGUUGCCUUGGUGGGAGCUUGGACAUGCCCAUCCCUCUCCACGCCUGAAAACUACAUCACCAGAAUCUGCACUCAACACAUUCCCACUUCUGCACUCUCCACCAGAAUCUGCACUCAACACUAAACUCUGUACUCGGCACCUAACCCGACAUUGGAAAACCCUACCAAAAUUUGAAAGAAGCCCUGCCAAAACCUGCCCAAUAGCACAGCCUGCUCACCGGAAAUCUCACCUACCUUCCAAUAGCAGCUAGCCCCGUCCAUGUCCUCUCUCUCCACAGCCAAUCAAACGCCUUCUCUCUCUAUGAAACCCCCACACGACUUCUCUGGUCCCUUCCUUGGGACCACAGAACCUCGCCUGGGAGUUAAAUAAAUUGGCAUUUAAUUGUUCUUAUACUGGCCUCAGUUUCCUCAUUUUAAACUCAGCAAUAACUCUUAAUACGCUACACUCCCAUUUCUGUUCCUCCACCCUGUCUCCACCUUUGUUGGCCUUGUUCAGCUUGGGCACUGUGGGAAUUACACGUUAACCGCCACGAGAGCCCCCAUGGACAUUCCUGAUGCGGGUAUGUCCUGGUGGAUCUUGGCAGGCGUGGCUGUGAGCUCAGGGCUGUCUGUCUUCCUGCGGGUCACCUGCCCCCUGCGGGAGGCUGUGUGUGGGGUCUGUGUAUCUGUGGCUCUGGGUCCCUGCUGUGCAUUUAUCUGGACAGGGCUCCCCGUGGCCGCUGUCUAGCCUGCAGAGGUUGUUGCUCUGCCCCCAUGCUGUGCAUACCAGUUGCGGGGGGGCUUCCGGGUUUCCCCCUCACAGCGGCACACCCCUGCACUGCUUGUCUCCUUGAGUGCCUCCCAGCAGCCCAAUCUAAUUACCUGUCUGCUUCUUACCAUUGGCUGUAUCUGUCUUUCUGAGCCUGCCAUUAUAUUUAUACUUUCAAAACCUCUUCUUUCCAGCCCAGAUCUCUUAUCAAAUUUCCACUUUCCUUCAGUUCUCCAGAAGGUUCUUUUUUGUUUGUUUCUUUGAAACAGGGUCUCACUCUAUCACCUAGGCUGGAGUGCAGUGGUGCAAUCAUAGCUCACUGCAGUUUUUAACCCCUGGGCUCAAACGAUCUUCCCGCCUUGGCCUCCCAAAGUGUGGGGUUGCAGAGGUGAGCUCCUGUUCCCGGCCUCCAAAAGGUCCUUAUGGUAAAAGUGGGUUGUCGGAUAAGAUGAUUUCUUGAAGGCUCCUGGAGCCGAGCGGCGACAGUGGCUACCAUGCCCACUUUACCCAGUGCUGCACCAAGCACCCUCUGGUCAGAGGGGAGGGAAUUUCACCAUUUUCCAGGAGUGGAAAGGCUGAAUGAGGCUGAGUGAGGAGGUACAGCUGCCUGGGCCUCCUGGAGGCAGCACAGCAGGGCUGGGCUCUCUCUGAGGCUCACCAUGUGUAGAGUAUGUGUUUCUCUCCAAGAUUGGAAGACUGACUGCAAGACCCCCAACUCAGAAGGCCAUCCCUUCCUUGCUCCAGGGCAGAAGAUCAUGUCAGGAUGGGCAACGUGCUUGGGAGUCCUUUUGGGCAAUGAGAGGGUGGAUGGAUGUGAGCCGGUCUUCAUGAACUGGUCUCUGAGCUGCCCUGUGGGAUGAGGCCCAUCAGCCAGGCUCCCUGGAGUGCAUAUGUAGGGGCUUGGGGCACCUCUUUGAGAAAAAAAUUCAGUCCGUUUCAAGACAUCACUCUCUUCCCAGGUGUCACCCCUUCAAUACCCCCCUGAGGUUCCAUUUUGACCCUUCACCAGAUACCACCUGAUGAAAGCAACUACAGCCUUAGGUCAGCCCCUCCUUGGACAGAAAGACUGGGCUCAAGGCAAGUGGAAGGGGCGAUGGGCCCUCAGGCCAGACCCUGGUCUCCGGGGUCCCAGCCUCCCUGGACCCUUCUGCAAACUCACACUGCUUUUCUUCCAGGAAUGUCUUUUGACUCAGAGCCCUUCACACGCUGCGCCAUGGAUGCCACCUUUGAGAAAAGUGACCCAUGAUGGUUGCGUGAUCAUCCCUUACCAAAUCAAGCCGUGUGUGUUUUCAUGGCAGCUCCUGGAAUCCAUGGAAGUCAACUCUGGGAUCCAGCAAGCAUGUCUUUCUCAGUUGACACCCCCAGCCAUCCAUCUCUCUUAGGGCAUGAUGUAGGAGACACGUAGCAAUCUCGUUCUCAUUGCAAGUUGACUUCUGUCCUUGCAGGUGGCCUGGUGAUGUGUGCAGAAUUGUGGACCUUCCCAUGGGGAAGAGACAAUGGAAUCUGGAAAUCAUGGAAGUAGGGCCAUCGGCCUCUUUCUUUAGCCAUGGGGUAAAUCCUGACUGAUCCCAUGAAAUGUCCGUGAAGUGCUGGAAUUGCCCAAACACAGAAUCAUAGGACAGAGAAACUGGGUCAGUAGAACUCAAAAAAAUCGUGAGAUCUUGGAAUCUUAUGAUUCUUCAAGCACAGAUCCAUAGAUGGAGAGUCGUAGAACCAUAAGAAAAUCAAAUUUGGUAAUGAAAAGAAAGUCACAGUGGGCCAGAUAGGUAGCUCACACCUGUAAUUCUAGUGCUUUGGGAGGCAGAGGCCAACAGAUCUCUUGAACCCAGGAGUUUUUUUGACCAGCCUGGGCAACAUGGUGAGACACCAUCUCUAUAAAAAAUUA